rnacentral:tRNA from 1 species
GCCCGAGUGCUGGAAUUGGUAGACAGGCAUGGUUGAGGGCCAUGUGUCCGUAAGGGCGUGCAGGUUCGACUCCUGUUUCGGGCACCA